AACGAACGCUGGCGGCAUGCCUAACACAUGCAAGUCGAACGAGACCUUCGGGUCUAGUGGCGCACGGGUGCGUAACGCGUGGGAAUCUGCCCUUAGGUUCGGAAUAACUCCCCGAAAGGGGUGCUAAUACCGGAUAAUGUCUUCGAACCAAAGAUUUAUCGCCUUUGGAUGGGCCCGCGUUGGAUUAGCUAGUUGGUAGGGUAAAAGCCUACCAAGGCGACGAUCCAUAGCUGGUCUGAGAGGAUGAUCAGCCACACUGGGACUGAGACACGGCCCAGACCUCUAACGGGGGGAGGAAGGGGGAAAUAGUGAAAAGGGGGAAAAGGCUUAACCAAGAAAGGCCGCGGGAUGAAUAAGGCCUUAGGGUUUAAAAACUCUUUUCACCCGGGAGAAAAAUGAAAGUACGGGAAAAAAAAGCCCCGGCAACCCCCGUC
rnacentral:rRNA from 1 species